rnacentral:rRNA from 1 species
GACGAACGCUGGCGGCGUGCUUAACACAUGCAAGUCGAACGGAAAGGCCCUGCCUUUGUGGGGUGCUCGAGUGGCGAACGGGUGAGUAACACGUGAGUAACCUGCCCUUGACUUUGGGAUAACUUCAGGAAACUGGGGCUAAUACCGGAUAGGAGCUCCUGCUGCAUGGUGGGGGUUGGAAGGUUUCGGCGGUUGGGGAUGGACUGGCGGCUUAUCAGCUUGUUGGUGGGGUAGUGGCUUACCAAGGCUUUGACGGGUAGCCGGCCUGAGAGGGUGACCGGCCACAUUGGGACUGAGAUACGGCCCAGACUCCAACGGGAGGCAGCAGUGGAGAAUAGUGCACAAUGGGCGGAAGCCUGAUGCAGCAACGCCGCGUGCGGGAUGACGUCCUUCGGGUAGUAAUCCGCUUUCGCCUGUGACGAAGCGUGAGUGACGGUAAUGGGUAAAGAAGCACCGGCUAACUACGUG